ACGGGUGAGUAACACGUAUCCAACCUGCCGUCUACUCUUGGACAGCCUUCUGAAAGGAAGAUUAAUACAAGAUGGCAUCAUGAGUCCGCAUGUUCACAUGAUUAAAGGUAUUCCGGUAGACGAUGGGGAUGCGUUCCAUUAGAUAGUAGGCGGGGUAACGGCCCACCUAGCCUUCGAUGGAUAGGGGUUCUGAGAGGAAGGUCCCCCACAUUGGAACUGAGACACGGUCCAA
rnacentral:rRNA from 1 species